rnacentral:tRNA from 1 species
GCGGGAGUGGCGGAAUUGGCAGACGCGCAAGUUUCAGGUACUUGUGGGCAACCGUUGCAAGUUCAAAUCUUGUCUCCUGCACCA